ensembl:lncRNA
CUCCGCGUGUGGGAGCUGCAGCGGGCACGGGGCCCGCGAGCGGGGCAACUGCGGCUUCUUAGAGAUGUGCCAAGCACGUAUUUCUAACGGAAGGCACCUAGGCAUUAGACUGGGAGGAGUGACGGGUGCACAAACUGAGUUUCUGCAUUGCCGUAGUUGUUCUGUAACUCUUUUUCACAUGCUAUGGAUUGGCACAUGGGUCCAGGGAGGGAAGACCUACCAGUCAACCCAGUGGGAUACUCCGUUUCUUCACUCAGCUCUUGUGAGGCCACACCUAGAGUACUGUGCACGACUUUGGGCCCCUCACAACAAGAAAUACACUGAGGCUCCGGAGUGUGUCCAGAGAAGGGCAAUGAAGCUGGUCUGGAGCACAAGGAAUGGCUGAGAGAGAUGGGAUUGUUUAGUCUGGAGGAGGGUCAGGGGAGACCUCAUCACUCACUACAGCUCUCUGAAGGGAGGCUAUGGCCAGGUGGGGGUCAGCCUUUUCUUCCAUUCAUUCCAGAAUGACAGGGAAUGGCUUUAAGUUGCAGCAGUUCAGGUUGGAUAUGAGGAAAAAUUUAUUCUCCGGAAGAGUGGUGAGAUGUUGGAACAGGGUGCCCACGGAGGUGGUGGAGUCACUGUUCCUGGAGGUUUUCAAGACGUAGAUGUCACACUGAGAGAUGUGGGUUAGUGGGCAUGGUGGUAGUGGACUGACAGUUGGACUGCAUGGUCUUAGUGGUCUUUUCCAACCUUCUAUGAUCCUGUGAUUGUUUCAACAGCACUUUGAGGUGAACCUCACGUACGUGAGAGGCUUUAGCAGUUAGUUGUCUGGGGUCCAUGUCUGCAGUGAAGGAAACGAGCAUUCUGCAGUGAGUUGAGGCAGAGUGUGAGACGAUUUUUGAAUUAAAAGAAAGCGUCGAUUUUAGAGUCACAGAGAAGCAUGAGUAACAGGGUCUGGGCAGUGGAUGCUCACAGCUUUGCAAGAGUACCCCAUACAAAACCAGACCUCAGUGUUGCCACCAUGCCAGGGGGCUUUUGCCAAUGCCAAGCUGCAAGGCGGGAGUGCGGCGUCUAGCAGACGGAUAUCUGUAAUCAGAAUUAGCAACAGAUAGUGCCCUGAUUGGCUGCCUCUGCAAAGAGGCUAACCCGGGAAGAAAUGGGAUUAAACUGCUCCCUCACCUCCAGGCAUCCCGGGGAUCACUGCUUCAUGUUUGAAGUAGUGCUCGCACUGAUGCUGCCCAUCUCCAGACAAGUUUUCAUGUAAAGAAAGGCUCCCUGGCACCGUCGCUCCUAUCUCUCUGCUUCCAAAUCUCAUGCUUUGGACUUGGUCUAAAUUACAGCAUGACAGCACUGUUAAGUUUCAGGGCUCCAUUCAGAGAACUUUCUGUUUCCCGCUCAGCUGGUGUGGCCAUCUGUCCAGCCAACACAACUCUAUCUCUUAGAGCACCACUUGUACUUUGGAAGAACUUCAGCUUUCCUUAAAAUCCUGAUGCUGACAGGGAGCAUUUGCACUGCUGUCAGGCAGAACUUACCGUAGGAGCUCAGUGCCCAGAAAGGCUCCUGCCUGUGGUAACUCUGAGCAGCAGAAAAAGUAGAAGAGUGAAUUCUAACAGAAUAGGAACAAAUAUUUUCUUUAAGGUGUCAGAUUAAUACAGAGCAUGCACUAUGCUUCACUUUUCAUUUUUCACUUUUACAACUGCUGCUGAGGCUGUUGGUUAGUCUCUGUGCAACGCGACAAUGAGCAACAAGACACCACAGAAGGGUGCAGCGUAUUGCAUGCAGACCCUUCCUUGGCCACCCAAGACGAUGCUGCAGAUCUUGGUCCUGCCAGCACGAUGCCGAUCUGCUUGAGCACAGCCAUAUAGGUAAAACAGAUUACGCUCAGUUUCUAAAUGCCUUCAGUGGCAUGGCAAACAGGGUUUCUUGUCAUUUGUGCUUCAGUGUGCAACUGAAGAGAGAACAACGUGAAGAAAGGCUACAGAAUAAGUCUGCAAAAUGCUUUCAGUUGAACAGAAAGAAACUGUUUACAUGGCUUCCGUAAGAGGACAGCCUCAAACCUUUUUUCUAGAAUAGAUACCAGUUAAUGUCACUGGAGUUAAGUGUUGGUAUUUAGAAAUUUUUCAAUAAAAACAAAGAAAUAAAGAUUGCCAUCUUAAAGCAAAUAGCCUUAUAUUGUAUCUAUUUAUCACCAUCUCAUCAAAAUUUACUGCUGGAAAUUAACAAGGCAGGAAAUUAAAAUAUCCAGAGCAGAUCCCACCUGUCUUCAUGCAGACAAAACUUCCUUUGAAAAAAAUACAAGUUUUUGGAAUGACGAUAGCACUGAGCCCCCACAGUUUGCCUCGUUAAGGUUUACAAGCCAUUUCCUUUACAAACAGUUCUGAGGCUGAGAUUUAAUGAGGUUUAUAUCUAAUAGUAAAAUUAGAAUGAAGAUUCAGUGAGUGUUGAGUGUCCCUCCCACACUCAAUGAUUUAACCUAGGGAAAAAUUUCACGUACUGAAAGAGAUUGCCAGUGUUGUUAAAAAGAAAAUCUGGUCAGGACAAAAGAGUAGGUUUCUAGAAGGAAAAGUAAAUAAAUCCAAUUACUUGCUUGGAUUGUUUAGCUAUUUGGAACUUCGGAUAGACGGGAAUGCUGAUUAUGUCUUAUUUUUACCUGCAGGAUGCCUGUGUACCCUUUUUGAAGUUCUGGGGGUGUUUCCCUCUUCCUCAGAUGAGCUCUUUGCAAAAAUCCUGCAAACAAGAGAAGAUGAGGCUGGUGAGAUACUCAAGGUAAAGUGUAGCAGAGGGCUCCCCACUUACCUGUGAAAAGAUGUCACUCAGUUUUGCCUAAUACAAACUGGGAGUCGGUCCCUGCUAUCUAAUGCAAUCCACUAGCGGAAAAGCACUGUCAGAAAAACAGAAACAGAAAUAUUUUUUCCAAGUAAAAAAAUUAAAGACAAAGUCUGAAAGUUUCGCUGCCAAAUGUAUUCGUUUCGAGUGUGUUUGUCUCAUGAACACUCCUGUGAGAAUUUGGAGCACUUUAGAGUAGAGCUUGCACCAUGGCAUGCUUCAGCACAGAGCCUGAGUUCCUGUUGUAAAGGUGAAUAUCGUUCUCAUUUUAUAGGCGCUGAAAUUGAAUUAGAGAGUAUUUAGAUGCAGCAGAGCAAUGCAUAAUGUGACUUUAAGCAUACAAAUGUCUUAUUUUGGAACUACUCAAAUGCUUUAAACAAGUCAUGGUUUAAAUGGCUUGUCCAAAACCAUACAGCCAGGAAGAUGAGGGAGAGGGUCCGGCUCCUUACUGAGUUCUUUAAAGAAAGUAUCCUAAAUAUAAAUAGCACAUCUCCAUCGAGGCUACAGGUGCUCAUAUUGAAGCUGUUUCUCUUUUUGGAAUGUAAUGAAUGCUGGCCAGCAAAUAUUGUAAAAGGUACUUUGUGACAUCGAAGUCAACACAGUAAUUAUAUUCAAUAUCCUGUGUUUUUGUCAGGCUUUCUUCUAGACAACUGAAUAUAAACUAGAGCACUGAUAAGCAAAGUAUUCUCCAGGAAGGAUACAAGACUACUUUAUUGCUUCACAUAACUUUUUUUUCAGUUUGCACUUACAUGGUAUCAAAGUAAUAUCACAUUGAAAACGUGACUGUGUGUGCAAGGAGUCGUGCUUCAGAGGAGGAGUUCUUUUCUCUUUCCUGUCUCUUCCAGAGAUAACUGGUCUUUCUGGCAUUAACUGGUGGUUUCACCGGAGCACGCAGCAUUGUGAUUAACCAGGGGCUUCAACUGAAAGGCAUGCAUGCAUUUUUGCAAUUUAAUGAUAAAGAUAUGUGUGCUUUGAAAACAUAUUAGAAACUUGUAGAAUGACUGUGGGGCUAUUAUUAUUUUCAUAUUGUGCCCUGCUAGCUUUCAUCACCUCUAACAGGAUCAUACUGUUUCUCAUCUUUGCAGAAAUGUGAUGUUCUUGAAGGAGAUUUCUUUUUCCUGGAAACAUUUAAGUUGUCAUGUUGCCAGGUUAAAAUAAAGACUCUUGUCUCAUCCAAAAGUUUCCUUCCUUCUUGGUGCUUUUGUAAUGCAGUUUCCACAAAUUGCAAACAUCAUGGGACUUGUCCCAAGAGAUGCUCAAGGAAAAACUGAAUGUUAUACAUGUAGCAUACCCCCUUACAAACCAUACCUCCCAUUUGAUCAUCAUUUAUGCAGUUCAAAAUGUCUUACUCUGUUGUUCCUCCUUCCUCAG